rnacentral:tRNA from 1 species
GCAGUGGUGGUUCAGUGAUAGAAUUCUCACCUUCCACACGGAAGACCCAGGUUCGAUUCCUGGCCAGUGCA